UACGAAGGGGGCUAGCGUUGCUCGGAAUUACUGGGCGUAAAGCGCACGUAGGCGGCUUCUUAAGUCGGUGGUGAAAUCCUGGAGCUCAACUCCAGAACUGCCUUCGAUGCUGGGAAGCUCGAGUCCGGGAGAGGUGAGUGGAACUGCGAGUGUAGAGGUGAAAUUCGUAGAUAUUCGCAAGAACACCAGUGGCGAAGGCGGCUCACUGGCCCGGUACUGACGCUGAGGUGCGAAAGCGUGGGGAGCAAACAGG
rnacentral:rRNA from 1 species